rnacentral:lncRNA from 1 species
UGAUAUUUUUAUAUUCUUGUCGGUAGGAGAAUCAGUGUAUAACGUCUUGGAACUCUCCGAUAAUAUAACGCGUUUUGAAGAGGUUGCCGAAUUCAUGAAGACAAAAUCUUAUUUUUCUAAACUUGAAAUCAAUAUUAAAAGGAAAGAAUGGUACAUGAAUCAAGCUAAUGUUAAAAUUGUAAAUGACUGGAUUCAAGAAAAUAUUACCAGUUUUUGAUUACACGAGUGAACAAACUUUUUUUCUUAUAAACUGAAAUGGUGUGUGUGUUUUUAGAUUUUCGUUGAGAAGCAUUUUUUUAACUUUUUAAAUUUUAAUUUAACAUAUUAAUAAACAAUAAAAAUCUUUUGAUAAUUCAAAAA